ACCUGAGCCCUUGGACCAUGGACUCUCAGGAUUACCUGGCCUGAUUACUCCUGGCUGUCUCCAGUCCACCUGGUCGUGCAAAGCUCCAGUUUCAUGCUACCUUGUCCUGGACCUGCUGUUUUCAACUCUCUCUCACUCCCUCCCUCUCUCUCUGUCUACAGCACCUGCUGUCUUGACCUCUGAAUGCUCAGCUAUGAAAAGCCAACUGACAUUUACACCUGAAGUGCUGACAUGUUGCACCCUCUACAACCACUAAAAGCCUUUCUCCGCGACAGACCGGGGCGAGAGAGAAAACGACAGAUUCCCGUUCGUUAAAGGAUAAAGGGCCCGGUUAUAGGUUUACCCCUGACAUCCUGCCAUUUCCAAAUCACCGCCGUCAAGACAGGCUCUCUUGCUCGCAGGAUAUCCCACACAAGCCCC